rnacentral:ncRNA from 1 species
AGAGUAAAAACACGUGCGUUACGCUUCGGAUGAGCGUCCGGAGGGUACAGUGUCGGCUGAACGGGGAGUUGUCAGCUGAACGAAAAGCCAGAGGCUUGCGGUUCGUGUUUUGCAUCCCGCU